rnacentral:lncRNA from 1 species
CGGCUGGAAUCUGAGCUCUCUGACCCCCACUCCUGCCCCUACAGCCACUUGGUCCCAUGGGGUGUGGCUGGACAGAAGCCAUCCUCUUCCUUCUGCUCUGUCCAACUGGCUUCUACCGGUAGGUGACAGGGCAGUGUUCCCAGCAGUGGGACAAGAGGCACUGGCACCAGGCCAUGAGCCAUGCAUUCCUAGCUCUGCAGGGCAUGCAUGCCACGCGGACUGUGACAGUGAGCUCUUCCAGGCCCCCAGUGAGCCUGAGAGGGGGUCUGGGAAGAGUCAAGAGACACCCAGACAGUGCCAUGUGGCAGUGAAGCCUCUGGUCCCAAUCUGCCAGGGUGCAAAGCCCCAGGACUGCUGGUGGGAUGUUGGCUACAACAGAAUGGCAGAGAGGAAAGGACCCUCCGGGAUCUUCCAGUUCAGCCAGCCCAUUUUACAGAGGUGGAGACUGAGGCCAGAGUGGAGUCACCGCUGGGCAUGGGGCCACCUAGCAAAGGACUGCAUCUCUCAGGCCUUCUCAUAGGUAGGUACAGUCACAUGGCUGGGCUCUUGCCAUUGCUAGAAAGUGGAAGUGAUGAGUCCAUGGCUCUGAAAACAGCAGGUGUACCUCUUCCACACUCUCUUCCCCUAUCCCUUCGGCUGAACCUGAAUGUUACAGUGGCUUCAACCGUGCAGAUGGUGACAAGGUCCUAGAGAUGGAAGAACCUGAAGACGGAAGAAACCUGGGUGCCUGAGUGACCAGGUGGAGCAGAGUGACUUUGCCAUGAAAAAGAAGUUGGGUUCCUCUCUUGUGACAGCAGCUCAGCCUUUUAUUGUGAACGGAAGAGCACCCCAUUUUCUGAGUUCCCUGAACCACGUCCAGACACUGCACCCCAACUCACUGGACUCUCCCACUAGAGAGCAACCUCUCAGCUGGCUCAGUUAUAAAAGCCCUGGAGACAAAAAUGUGCUUUGGAAUCAGACAUGGUUUCUCAUCCAGCUCUGCUCCUUCCUGGCUGUGCAACUUUGGACAAGUGACUUUACCUCUCUGAACUCCAUUCUCUCUUAUCCAAAAAAGGAUUCCAGCUAGCUCUGCCAUGAGGAUUCAAUGACAGGACGCAGGUAAAAGGCUCAGCACAGUGCUUGGCACAGAGUAAGGUCUUCGCAAAGGUCAGCUCCUUUUCCCUUCCCCCAUUCCCGGCAGCCUUCACUGCCGAGCCCCUGGCAGGCCUCCCAUCAGCCCCCACCAAACCGUGAUGCAGACUGAAGUUUUUCUUUCGAGUAAGUGACAGGUUCAGGGAGGUGGAACAGAACAAGUACUUAGAGUUCACAGCGCAGAAUUCUUUGAAAUCAUGUUCCCAAUGCUCCCUUCCUAGGGUCGGGGGAUUAGCCGGCUAUCCUGGGCUUGGCUCUAAAUGGUCUCACCAUGAAGGGAAUUUUCCUACAAUCUUAUCCUACCCACUGUCCCAGGGCUAAGAAGACAUGUGUCUUUCUCCUCUGUGGCAGCCUGUUGCUGUCAACCCCAUUCCAGGGCAAGGACUGUGGGAUGCAGGGAACAAAGAGUGGGGCUAGAGCUGGGGCUGGGGCGAGCGUGUUCUGUUUGGUGAUGAUUGGAAUGUUGUGAGUUAUGCAAUAGGAAUAUUAAUUCCUUCUAGUAGAGACCAUCAGGGCUGCGAGAGGCUGUUGGUGUGUAUCUGGUCCGGAUGCCUUCCUCCCGCCUCCCAUUUACUCAUGAAGAAAAGGAGGCCUGCGAGGGGACGAGACUUAUUUCCAGACCCACAUAGAGAAAGGGAGUGGCAGCAGCAGGCUGGGCUCCAGCGGGACACCGUGGAGGCCUGUCUCUGUGCACCAGCGCCCUUGUUAUGGUUCAGCGCUGAUGGCGAUGCAGAAGGGAGUGUUCGCCUCCAUGCUUUGUGUGUAUGAAAACCAGGAUCUAGAAAGUGUCCGAGGGACAUGCCUCCCACACUGACCUUCUGUGGCUGGGGUGGGCAAAGGAUUGGAGGGGAGCUGGGCUGCUAGAUUAUCAGAAGCUGGGAGACAGGCCCCAGGUAGGCAGAGGUUAGGAGCCGAGCCCCCAGGUAGGCAGGGACUAGAAGCAGGGUCCCCCAGGUAGGCAGAGGCUGAAAGCAGGGCCCCCAGAUAUGCAGAGGCUGGGAGCGGGCCCCCAGAUAUGCACAGGCUGGGAGCGGGGCCCCCAGGUAGGUAGAGGCUGGGAGUUCUCCAGCUCCCCACACUAUGGACUUGUGUGGUCUCGCCUCCACCACAGCCUGGCUCUGUUUUGUGAAUGUCUGUGCAGAGGUUGUGGCUUCCCAAUGGACAAUGUGGUUCCCAAUGAACCUUACACUGCCUGUCUCUCGACCUCCUUUAUGGCCUAGCUCCCUGAUCCUGCUGGUGGCAUUUGCUGAUCAAAAGCACAGAUGGUUUCCACCUCCCUGAUGCAAAAUCUUUCUUCAGCCAGACGGAAAUCAGACAGCCUCUGGUGUUGAAUCUCUGAUCUGCCACUUCACCAGCUGUGCCAUCUUGGACAAGAUAUUGAGCUCUCUGAGCCUAAAUGCUCAGAUGGGGUGAACAUGAGUGGGCUUCCCUCGGGGCUGGGUGAUAGGAUGGCGUGAGACUCGCUGGGUAAAACACACAGGGAGUAUUUUACCUCACUGACUUCCUCCUUUCCCUCUGCCCAGGGAAGCCUCUCAGUCCCAGGGGGCACAUUCCGUGUUGGUCAGGGCCCAGACCUUCUCCCUCAGCCUCCACUUUCCAUCCUCACCCACAUCCUGUCUCACUUCACAGGAGUGCUCAUGCUGUGGGUUCCGUCCAGAAUGUGGUCCAACAAAUCCAUCACACGCAGAUGAGAGUAGCAGCCCCAGCCCCAGGCUUGGAAAAGGUUUCCAGAGAUUGCCAACUGUCCCCUGCGGGUGAAAUUGCUGCUGUACAGGAAUCACAAAGAACUCAGACACGGAGAUCCUCCUGGAGCUAAUGGUCCACGGGGGCCCCUUCUUUGUGGACACAGACACCUCGGUACACACACCCGGAGGACCCAGGAGGGCCAGGCUGAAGGAGGGCAUCACCUUCCAUCUGGGGGACUUAUCCCCCUCUCCCCACACUUACACUUGAAGGUGGACUCAGUGCUGACCCUCAGGGCCAGGGCACACGGCAGGUGCAUUUUGGGAGGGAAAGGCCAGCUUUGGUCUGGAAAGGGGCACACCUCCUCUUGGAAAUACAAAAAAUACACAUGGGCAAGGACACGGCUUUGUAACAAACCCACUUUUAUUGAUAGUGUACACGGAGAUCCAUGGUGGCGGGGCUGUGCCUGGGUGA